UCUUUUUUUAUAUUGUUUUUUUUCUUUUUUUGUUGUUUUGUUUUUCUCC
rnacentral:ribozyme from 1 species